rnacentral:lncRNA from 1 species
CCCCAUUCAGCAGUGGGCCCAGACAGGCAACUAUAGUUUUUGUUUAUUGUAUUUCUGUGGACGCAUCUUGGUUCAUUAAGGAAGUUAUCUGUUUCUUAGAUAAUUUGGAAGACCAAAACAGAAUAUGACCUGUAUUUUUUUGUACUUCAUUCUUUCAGUACAGGUUUGAAGAUCCCUGCUAGGAGAGGACAGAAAUGUUCAUUUAUUCUGGCUGAACUAAUGUUAGAGCGUCUAUGAAAGAACACCAGCUUCCCCAGUUACUGAUUUCUUUCCCCAGCUUGCCCAUUCAGUUGUGCUGACACAGCUAAUCCUUGGCCUGUCCUCUGAGUGGCAUCAGCACAGACUCAGAAACCCAAUUAUGUCAUUCUAACUUACAUCAUGGGGUGAAGACAAGCAACCACAGAACAAAACUCCAUAAGGUGCAUUGGUCAUUAAGACUUAUUAACAAGAGCCCAUGAGUCAAGAAAUUAGAAAGGAGGCAGUUGGUUCCUAGUGCAGAGGAAACAUCACCACUCUGCAUAAAUGAAAGAGGAGGCCAGAAGAACAAGUGUGUUUUUCAUAAAGAGUGUUAUUGUUUGAAAGAAGAGAUAUUUCUAUUCUUCCAUGCAUGGGAAAACUGCAACCAAGGUGUAAACUUGGAAGGAGCAUGUUUGGAGAUUUUUCCAGGAUGGACAGAGGAAACCAUACUGAGAAGAAGAAGCAAAACAUGAACUGCUUGUCUCUAUGGGUUGCAGCUGGACAUUUGAGUAGGAGAAAAAAAACUGAAAGGUGAUUACAGAGGAGGAG